UAGAGGCUGCAGUGAGCAGUGAUUGUGCCACUGCACUCUAGCCUCAGCAACAGAGUGAGACCUGGUCUCAGUAAUAUUAUUAUUAAUAAUAAUAGAAGAAAUCAGAAUGUAUAUUGUCAUGACAUUAUUUAAAAAAUAUUUGUUAUAAAUUCUUUCCUUUCCAGAGGAAUCUUUUGGACUUUUCUUUACAUUUCAUAAAUUCAUGUUCAACAUCUUCUCGUCAUAAUGUUUAUUCCUGUCACUCCCACCUCAGUAAAAACUUAGAAUUAGGAGAUUACCCUGGUUUACAUGUUCUAAUAAGAUUCUGUGGAAGUGAAGGAAAAAAGAAACUUUUAUAAGUUUGUAAAAAUAAAGAUAACUGAAAAUCACAAUAACUCUUUGAGACAGGUGUAGUCAGUCAACUUGACAGAUAAGGAAACUGAGGCCCAGAGAGGUGA
rnacentral:lncRNA from 1 species